GACGAACGCUGGCGGCGUGCUUAACACAUGCGAGUCGAACGGAAAGGCCCUGCUUUUGUGGGGUGCUCGAGUGGCGAACGGGUGAGUAACACGUGAGUAACCUGCCCUUGACUUUGGGAUAACUUCAGGAAACUGGGGCUAAUACCGGAUAGGAGCUCCUGCUGCAUGGUGGGGGUUGGAAAGUUUCGGCGGUUGGGGAUGGACUCGCGGCUUAUCAGCUUGUUGGUGGGGUAGUGGCUUACCAAGGCUUUGACGGGUAGCCGGACUGAGAGGGUGACCGGCCACAUUGGGACUGAGAUACGGCCCAGACUCCUACGGGAGGCAGCAGUGGGGAAUAUUGCACAAUGGGCGGAAGCCUGAUGCAGCAACGCCGCGUGCGGGAUGACGGCCUUCGGGUUGUAAACCGCUUUCGCCUGUGACGAAGCGUGAGUGACGGUAAUGGGUAAAGAAGCACCGGCUAACUACGUG
rnacentral:rRNA from 1 species